ACCACGUUCCUCCUGCUCUCCGGCAAGUCCGCCCAGGACCAGCAGCUCCUCGCCUCCGCUGCCGGCGAGCUCUCUCUGGCGGAGGAGGGCGGGGGCGAGCUCGCCGUCUCCCUCGCGCUCGACGCCAGCGGGGACGCGGGCUACGAUGUGGCCGCCUACAUGGGCGCGCUCCAGGCGCGGCGCUUCGGGAGGUGGAUGCGUUGGUCGCCGCGGAUGGCAUCCACGCACGACCUCGUGAUACAGAACUUUGCCAAACUUCCGGUGGGCGUCGUGUGCGCCACAUACAUGCAGUUCAAAGGCAGAGAGUCGGCAGCGACUUGAUUUAUAUUUCCGCUACUUGUCAAUAUGAUGGCCCGUUGUAAAUAAAUGAGGCAUGGCCAUCACUUAUACUUGGGAACUACUUUUCAGUGAUAGCUGUAUUGACUAAGGGAACUACGGCGGGCUUAUACCUACUGAACUAUAUUCGAAACUAUCAGAGUGUAUAGCAGAUUAGAGGAGAUUACAGUAGCCUUAAAGAUUGUUGGCCAUUAACGGUUAUCCAUGGCACUAAAACUACUUGAUCUCAAUACAUUCACCUCACAACACUUGUUGGCGAAAACAUGUGCUAUAGCACCAAAGUAGUUGAGGUCAAAUUAAUGAGGUGAUAGCUAAACUCCUUAAACUGGAUAUAUUUGUGUUUUGUUUGCUUCAAGUAUAUAGACAUAUAUUCCUUGAUCAAAACUCAUUGACACUGCUACCACUAAUUUGCUUCAGGUCAUCGACUUGAAGAUUGAUAAAUAUGGUUCUGUUAUUAUGCAGGAGUUGUGUGAUCUGAGGAGAAACUAUUCUCUUGCAAAUCGGAUAAUUGUUGUAGGAAUUAAAAGGCACACGAUUGUACUAUUGUUCUGGGAUUUCGUUUCUUACGUUCCUCGACCCUAAUGUCUACAUGAGGUGUGAGUUCAACGGAUACAGGAAAUCACAUUAGUAAUAGAAUGAUGCCGCACCAAAGAAAAUGCUCUCAGCCUUGGACGAUCCAUUCACUCGAUUCUUGAAACCAUUACCUUUCUAAAGCAAGACUAGCUAGCACCCAAGGUGCCCUGGCAGGUGUACGUUUAUCCAUUGGCUACCCGUUGGAGCAUCACUUGCGGUGCUCUUUGUAAUGUCACUUGGUGUCAUCAAGGAAACUCAAUAGAUGGCUAUUUCAGUGGAGAUUAUACCAGAGAUGUUGUUUUGAAAGUAUAUGCCAGGAGAGAAAGAUAUACUUGAAACCCGAUGAGGUCAAUGAUGUGGAGAUUUUACCAGAGAUGUUGUUUUCAAGUAAGAUUUUGUGUGAGAUUAUACCGAUCGCACCAGCACGCCACAUUGUUGCAACACGGCAAAGGCAGCGAGGUAAUUUUUCUUUUCGCACCGAUGUAAUUUUCCUUUUCUUUUAGCCCACUCCCAGGUCUCUUCCGUUCAUAUUCUAAUCACGCAUGGUGAGCGGCGGUUUCGACAGCGACUGGCUGGCUGCUGCUGGCUUAUACAUGUGGAAGGCAGUUGUUCACGGCAGACCAGUGAGCGGCGGCGGGUGGGCGCGACCACAUGGUGGUUGGAAGGUAGGCUUCGCGGCGUUCAGCCUCGGCCACCAUCGUACCACGAUCUCGGCCCACCCGGAAAGUUGGAUGAAGAGGUGGUGGACGACUGAUCCCGGAGAGGAGAACAAGCCUCCGAGCACGUGCUCGUCAACUCCAUGCCGGCCGCUCCAAGCGCCCCUGCUUCGUGUCUUCAAGGCAGGCGCCGAGAUAGCCUUUGCAGCGAGCUGUGGUGUGUGGACUCUGCGGCGAGAUGGGAUCCAGAAUCCUCUUCCGUGAUAGCACAUCCAAGUAAGGAAGGAGAUUGAGGUUGGCACCUCCUGAAGGCAUGGAUGCUCUUCACCGAGAGAGGGAAGGGCAUCUUUUUCUUGGGUUGCAGUUUCCACCUUGUUGUUGGGCGAGCUGAUUCGUUGUUUGUCAGAGCUCUUGUGGAUAAUCAGACAUGGGGUGCAUGGCAAAAUUAGGACAGACUGAAGGCAGCAAAUUCCGCGUUGGUCGUGCACUUUGAGGAGAAGACAUUGUCUUUGUAUAAGUGCCCCUACAAUCAUCUCUUUACAGCAGAGAUAAGGCCUUCAGAUAGAUAUGGCCGCAUAAAUCGCACCGAUGGAUCCAGUCCUUCGCUAGGUACAACCUACCCUGCACCAGCCUCAAGCACGUUAUUCAGUCAACGCAUAUUCUGUCUUUUGGCAUGUGUAUGCUUGCUGUUGUGCUCAUGUUGUAAUCGUGACCUGUAAUCAGUCCAUGAUCCUUGUGUGAUCAGAAGUUGGGCAUAACUGAAUUGUUACUGAGAAGAUGUGAAUAUUAACUUAGGGAUCGGAGCUGAAGCUCUAGCCGAUAGCACAGAUACGAAGUAUGUGCUCUGUCUUAUGUUUGCAAGUAUAUUGAUGUAACUUCACAUCUUGAAUGGAGUCACUCCUAUGUGUACUGCCGCUGUAAUUACACAACAUGAAUUUUCCGUUUUUGUGAUCA